GGGCCUAUGGCGCAAUUGGUAGCGCGUAGUAAGUUCCACUUGCAAUCGUAAGGUUGUCCGAUCGAGCCGGGCUGGGCUCA